rnacentral:rRNA from 1 species
AUCAUUACUGAGUUUACGCUCUAUAACCCUUUGUGAACAUACCUAUAACUGUUGCUUCGGCGGGUAGGGUCUCCGCGACCCUCCCGGCCUCCCGCCUCCGGGCGGGUCGGCGCCCGCCGGAGGAUAACCAAACUCUGAUUUAACGACGUUUCUUCUGAGUGGUACAAGCAAAUAAUCAAAACUUUUAACAACGGAUCUCUUGGUUCUGGCAUCGAUGAAGAACGCAGCGAAAUGCGAUAAGUAAUGUGAAUUGCAGAAUUCAGUGAAUCAUCGAAUCUUUGAACGCACAUUGCGCCCGCCAGCAUUCUGGCGGGCAUGCCUGUUCGAGCGUCAUUUCAACCCUCAAGCUCUGCUUGGUGUUGGGGCCCUACAGCUGAUGUAGGCCCUCAAAGGUAGUGGCGGACCCUCCCGGAGCCUCCUUUGCGUAGUAACUUUACGUCUCGCACUGGGAUCCGGAGGGACUCUUGCCGUAAAACCCCCCAAUUUUCCAAAGGUUGACCUCGGAUCAGGUAGGAAUACCCGCUGAACUUAAGCAUAUCAAUAA